rnacentral:rRNA from 1 species
UGGGGAAUUUUGGACAAUGGGCGAAAGCCUGAUCCAGCAAUGCCGCGUGUGUGAAGAAGGCCUUCGGGUUGUAAAGCACUUUUGUCCGGAAAGAAAUCCUUGGCUCUAAUACAGUCGGGGGAUGACGGUACCGGAAGAAUAAGCACCGGCUAACUACGUGCCAGCAGCCGCGGUAAUACGUAGGGUGCAAGCGUUAAUCGGAAUUACUGGGCGUAAAGCGUGCGCAGGCGGUUUGCUAAGACCGAUGUGAAAUCCCCGGGCUCAACCUGGGAACUGCAUUGGUGACUGGCAGGCUAGAGUAUGGCAGAGGGGGGUAGAAUUCCACGUGUAGCAGUGAAAUGCGUAGAGAUGUGGAGGAAUACCGAUGGCGAAGGCAGCCCCCUGGGCCAAUACUGACGCUCAUGCACGAAAGCGUGGGGAGCAAACAGGAUUCAGAUACCCUGGUAGUCCACGCCCUAAACGAUGUCAACUAGUUGUUGGGGAUUCAUUUCCUUAGUAACGUAGCUAACGCGUGAAGUUGACCGCCUGGGGGAGUACGGUCGCAAGAUUAAAACUCAAAGGAAUUGACGGGGUCAUAGCUG